UGCACUGGCUACAGCAGCUCCUACAUCACAUGGGCACGGCAGACAGCCCCAGGCAAUGCUCCUGGAACAGCCCCAGCUGCUUCGUCUGCUGUGGCACUGAUAACACUUCAUGCUUUAGACUCCUGUGCUGUUUUGGUGGUAAGAGAUAGCAAAGGCUACAGGGUGGAUGGAGUGGAGGUCAGGUUGAAGCAACUUUCUGAGGAGAGCAAUGUACACAACCUGCAGUAGAAGGAAGUUGUGCAGAUUGAAAGAAAAUGGUUUAAACACAGUCACUGGAAGAAGAAAGUAAAAGAUGUCCUGGAAUUUAAACUAAUCAUGGAGAAAAGCACACAUGGUUCUGGAGAGCCUACUCAGUAAUAAAAGUGAAGGACAAUAAACAAGAA